rnacentral:rRNA from 1 species
UACGUAGGGUGCAAGCGUUGUCCGGAAUUAUUGGGCGUAAAGAGCUUGUAGGCGGUUUGUCGCGUCUGCUGUGAAAUUUCGGGGCUCAACCCCGAACUUGCAGUGGGUACGGGCAGACUAGAGUUCGGUAGGGGAGACUGGAAUUCCUGGUGUAGCGGUGAAAUGCGCAGAUAUCAGGAGGAACACCGGUGGCGAAGGCGGGUCUCUGGGCAGUAACUGACGCUGAGGAACGAAAGCGUGGGUAGCAAACAGG